GACGAACGCUGGCGGCGUGCCUAAUACAUGCAAGUCGAACGAAGCUGUUUUAACUGGUGCUUGCACCGACUUAAACAACUGAGUGGCGAACGGGUGAGUAACACGUGGGUAACCUGCCCCAAAGCGGGGGAUAACAUUUGGAAACAGAUGCUAAUACCGCAUAACCACAGAAACCACAUGGUUUCUGUGUCAAAGAUGGUUUCGGCUAUCACUUUGGGAUGGACCCGCGGCGUAUUAGCUAGUUGGUAAGGUAAUGGCUUACCAAGGCAAUGAUACGUAGCCGAACUGAGAGGUUGUUCGGCCACAUUGGAACUGAGACACGGCCCAAACUCCUACGGGAGGCAGCAGUAGGGAAUCUUCCACAAUGGACGAAAGUCUGAUGGAGCAACGCCGCGUAGUGAAGAAGGUUUUCGGAUCGUAAAACUCUGUUGUCAGAGAAGAACGUGUGCGAGAGUAACUGUUCGUGCAGUGACGGUAUCUGGCCAGAAAGCCACGGCUAACUACGUGCCAGCCGCCGCAGUAA
rnacentral:rRNA from 1 species